rnacentral:rRNA from 1 species
CAAUAGCGUAUAUUAAAGUUGUUGCAGUUAAAAAGCUCGUAGUUGGAUUUCUGGUGGGAGCGAUCGGUCUGGCGCUUAGCGCGAGUACUUGCAUCGUCUCCGGCCAUCCUUGGGGAGAGUCUGUCUGGCAUUAAGUUGUCGGGCAGAGGAUCCUCAUCGUUUACUGUGAAAAAAUUAGAGUGUUCAAAGCAGGCUUAUGCCGUUGAAUAUAUUAGCAUGGAAUAAUAAGAUAGGACUUUGGUACUAUUUUGUUGGUUUGCGCACCAAAGUAUUGAUUAAUAGGGACAGUUGGGGGUAUUCGUAUUCCGUUGUCAGAGGUGAAAUUCUUGGAUUUACGGAAGACGAACUACUGCGAAAGCAUUUACCAAGGAUGUUUUCAUUAA